GAGCACUGGGUGCUCGGGGGGAUGGAUCCAUGGAUCAUUGGAUGGAUGGGCGUGCUACUGAUCCCCUGGCAGCUCGAUUAGCUAGCAGGCUGUCAUUAGCUAGCACUGCUUCAAGCUCCGGCUGCCGCUGGUGCUGACACUGACGGCCGCUCUCAGUCUCAGCUCAGCGUACUUAAAAAUAAUCCCGGAGCUAGCGGGCUCACUCCCCCCAGGCUCAGGAGCUUAGCUUCUUAAGCGAGCCCAGGUAGUAGUAGUACAAGCCACCGUCCCAUCCACCAGGCCGUCGCCCACCUCCACUCCAUCCGUUCUUGCUCCUCCUGCUCCAAGUACGGCGGCCGCCGCCGCUCACCGGAUCCGAGAAGAACGGCCGGACGACUCGUCUCCCUGUCGAUUGCUCCUCCAUGCAUGUUCCUUUUGUGCUCGCUAUUAUCCCGUGAUUAUUACAGGGGAAAAGAGGCGUGAGAUUAGAAGGCCCAGAAGAGAUUGACAGAAGAGAGCGAGCACCCGGCGCCGCGGCCGGCAUGGAGCGCAUGCCGUCUCCGCCGCGUGCUCGCUCCUCUUUCUGUCAGCCUCUCUCUCGUCCUGACCGGGCCGCGACGGCCGGCCGGCUCGCUCUGAUCUGGGCUGCCACGCCACGCGCAGCGAGGCAGGCGAGACAGACACCGCCACCACCACCAAUACUGGAAUUGGGGGGAUCGGGAACCGUACCACGCGGAGAUGGACGACACGCAUGCUGCGCGAGGGCGGCGGCUUUUGCAGGCAGCAAGGACAUGUCACCUCAUUAUCUUCUAGAGGCUGUCGCGGGGCUACUACCGAGGAAGAGGAUGAGGAUUGGAGGCUGCCGCUGCCGCUGAAUUGCUGAUACUGAUGGCCCGGCCAUACACGGCAUGGAGGCCGGGGAGUUGAAAGAGUACUUGCUUGCUUCCACGCCUCGCAGGGAGGGAGCGAGCGAGCGAGUUUGCGACGUGCUGCCUUGGGAGCUGAAUCGGGGAGGUGCUGACAGUACACUGCGGCACUGUGAGGAUUUAACAGAACAAAGACUACUGCAGUUCUCCUGCGGCCAUGGCGAUGCAGGUGGCUGUGCCGCUGUGGAUCGGAGCUCCUGUUGGCUCAAAAAUGGGGCAUGGAGGGCACCAUGUGAUGAUCCGUAUUUGGCAAAGGCAGUGGACUCACCUUGCUUUUGCCAGAUCUGGUUUGCUUCAAGGUACCUUGUUUGUAUCUCUCUACAAUCACACAACUAGUCAGCUACACAAGUCACGCACACAUAACCCCUAUAUGGUUGCUGCUGCCCCCCUCCUCGAUCGGCCUUCUUGAUUUUUCAUCUCCUCUCUCUACUCUCGUAUCAUCAUGUCCUCGUCUCUCUACCUCGGUCUCUUAGAGACGCAGGGAGAGUAGAGAAGAAGCUGCUAAUUUUUACAGGCUUGCUAGCUGAUGAACAUGUUUGUAUUUGGUAAGAGCCACUGCUCUUUCGUUUCAUUGUUUUCAUGGCUUCAGCGUGGCCUGCUUUACCAUUCAUUAUCUUGUGGCCCUUCAUCAUGGAUGUUCUGUUGACCCAUUCGCUGCUGCUGCUGCUGCUUUCUUCCCUUUUAUUUCUUUCCUUCUUUCAGGAUUUGGGCGUCAUGAAUUAACGGGCCACACAAUUCGCAUAUUUUGCUUAUGACCAAGGUAUGCACAUCAGCACAAACCAUUUCUUUCUAGUAGCAAAUUGAGCGUAAUAAACGUAUCGUUUGCGGUUCUAAAAAAAAGUUGUUGCUCGUUUUGUGCACAUGUUGUUGAUAUUUGGAUCUUUCAAGUAGUUUUGAUAUGUUCCAACGACUUUUCAUUUGAAAGUUUAUGUGCUACUCCAACGACUAGGUAGGAGUAGAUUUGAUGGAAGAAACUUGGAAUGCAAAGACCAUUUCAUGAGAUGAACCGACAUUUUAUCUGCAUCCCUUGUUGAGUGCAAAAUGGAUUGGCUGCGUUAGAAGUAAUAUCAUCUGGGGUAGCUGUUAAGUUAAAAUCAGGUGGGUUGUAGAAUAUUCGGUUUUCUGGUGCUAUAUAUCUAUUAAUCUCAUCUUCAGAAAUCAAGAUAAUUGGAGCAUAUAAUCAAGGUUAAGUGGCAAUAACUUAAUCUUUGUCCUAGAUAGUGGAGCACCUUUUUGUUGCCUUUCUCCACUUCAAGAGAGAGGAUACAUGUGGUAUAUGCAGAGAGAAUGAACCAUUAUAUCAGUUGAAUCUUAGUUCAAGUGCAUUGCAGUUUGUUUGGGGUUGAAAUGUGCUGGAUUAGGUCUGCUACAUGAUUAAAAAUUGAAUGUUAGACCAUGCAAGCUAAUUUAUAGUUUCAUGUUUUUUCUGUGGAAUGCUAGUUUUGGUUUCAGGCCAGGCCGUUUAUUUUUUAAAAAACUCAGUAACAAAUUAAAGAAAGGCAGACUUCCCUUCUUCUGAGAAAAAAAAAUAUGGAGGAAAAAAACUGUCAUGCAACCAUACUGUGCUGCUUCCUCUGCAUGCAUGUUUUCUAACAUUGCAAACCACUAAACCAGCACCAUAUGAUGAACCAAUACCACCAUAUGUCAAGCAGCAAUAUAUGUCUAAAACUUACUUUCUAUGGUUGCAAAAAGAAAAAAGCUCCUGUUCAUCUUGGUUUUCUUGCUGUUCUGUUGGCUUACUUACUGAACUGCACUACACUCCAAAUAUAUAUACAGUUGGGAAAAUGAAUACUGAUCCAACAGAUGAAACUUGAAACUUUUUUAUAUAUAUAGUAUGGCCCCUAUACCAUGGUGAGUGAUAUGGAGCAAAUAUGAGUUGCAAUAGCUUUAUAUGAGGGGUUCAUGGCACUCGCUUUACUAGUUAAUAAAUAAUCUAGAAACAUCACACUGAUUACAUAAUGUUACUUCGAAGUGACUUGUGUAUUGUUGAAAUGAAUCUGACUGUUGAAUUGGAUGAACCAUUUAGCAAGUCCAUUCCUUUGCACUGAAUUAUUUUCAAGUAUUUAUCCUAAUUGUAUAGAGUAGUUCAUGGCAAAGGAACCCCAGCUACAAAGAUUUUCAGAAAGGGGAAUUCAGGUGAGAAAUAGGUAAGACUAGUAAUUCAUAGUUGAGGGCGUUUGGACAAAAAAAUGGUGACUAUUACUAGAUCAUUGCCUCAGGUUGACUAGUAAUUAUAGUAAGGGUGUAAGGAUCGUGGCCCAAGAAGGGGGGUUGAAUUGGGAUUUUUUCAAAAUUCUAUCUAAUCCUUAACCUAGACUAGUAUUGCUCAAUCUAUAAAUUUGAAACCUAGUCACUAGAGCAUGCUAGCACAAGGUCCUUAGGUAGGUAAACACACUAUCAUGAUCAUGUUACCUAAAAGAUAUCACACUAGCAAGAUCAAGACCUAAACAAAAGGUCACACUACCAUGCAAGUUGUCCUAGUCAAACUACAAGCAAUCAAAGGCAAGAGUAGCAACAAAACGAUUUAAUUACUUGAAAUGAAAGUAAGAGACACGAGACAACCGGAUUUUUUCCCGUGGUAUCGAGGAGUUGACGCUUCCUCCUAAUCCACGUUGGAGCACCCACACAAGGGUAUAGCUCCCUUGCUUCACCAAGGAGCAAGUGAUCACUAAGAAUGCUCUUUCUCCAUCUCCGGAACGGCGAGCUUCACACCGUGUACAAUCUUUUUAUCUUGGGGCUCCUACAAACUCCAAGAGCUCACCAAGAACCUCUCGAUCACCAAGACCGGCUAGGUGCCGUCAAACACCAAGAGUAACAAGCUCCUAAGCCUUCACUUGACCUACACUCAGUUGGCCCUAGCUCAAGCACACUUGCUACACUUGCAAAGGAUGAAAUCUUCAAGGUUGAAGCACAAACAAUUCACUAGAUCUUUUCUCUUUUGCUCAAAGCACUUUCUCUUCUUCUCAAGGGUGGCCUCAGGUAUUCAGAGUGUCAAAGGCAACUGAAAUGAGCCAUGGGGUGCCCUUAUAUAGAGUGGAAAGAGUUACAUAACCGUUGGAAGUCCACUGCAGAAAAACCGUGAGCACCGGAAGAACCGAUGGGUGUCAGAUUUGAGGCGUCGGUUCAACCGGUCUCUCUGUGUCCAAAUUGUAGCCGUUGGUGUUCUGACACAGUAUCCAGGCUUGUAUCAUUGCACCGGUGCAUGCUCCGUAGGGCAUCGGUUCAACCGGUGCUGAAGAGGUUCACUGAUCAACUCAAACAAGCUCUCUGGAACAUAUGACGUCUAAUGCACCGGUGCUUUGAUUCUGAGGCGUCGGUUCAACCGGUGCUGAAGAGAAGUUGAAGUCCACCAAAACAUGCUCUCUGGAACAAGGUACAUCCAAUACACUGGUGCUUAUCUUUUGACCGUCGGUUCAACCGGUGCUAGAGAGUUUGACUUAGUUCCUGCCUAUAUCCAGAGAAGAUAGACCGACAGGGCAUCGGUCCUUCCGCCAAGCAUCGGAUGCUCCGACGCUAGGGCACCGGUUCAACCGGUGCUACUGUUUUUCUAUGUUUUCAGCUGAAUUGACUUGGAUUGGAAUGUGGCUUUGAUUGUUUCUUCUUCCAAGAGUUGUGUUAGCUUCUAUUGACCAUCUUUUGCUGUUUUUGAGUGAGUGUGCAAGAUUUCUAAGGCCAACUCAAUUUCGAUCAAGCUACUAACUCAUGAACCCUUCUUAAUAGUACGGUCAAGAACUAAAAACUAUAAACCCUAGCUAAAUCAAGUGUCCUUCAUCUCCUUGUGACACUUGAGACUAGAAAGGUCCUUAAUCUUUAAAAUUGAGUCCUUGGCACGCAUGGUUGUUCCGAAUUGAGGGGUCUCUUUUCACAUUUCAUAUGAGACUAAAUUAAUCAUUAAUUUAUCCUUCAAAACACACGUUAGUCGCAUACGGUUGUCAUUAAUCACCGAAACUUACCAUUAACAUCUAUCGGCCUAGAUGCACUUCAAAGGGGCCAGAAUCAUUGCCUUAGGUUGAGCAAUUAUAUGAGGAGAAUUUCACUAUUAUUAUUUCUAGGUUUGAUCGCAAUGAGAAUCCCCUAGCGUUGAUGUGUUUAACCGGUCGAAGUUGGGUCUCACCUCUCCCAUGAUUAAUCAGGCAAAGAUAUUGUUGAACUCUCACAUGCCAUCAAGGAUUUAGAUUAGGAUUUCUGAAACAAAGUUGAUCAACCCAUAUUGAAACCCAAACAAUUUAUAUAAAAAAUGUACUCUAGUGGUUUCUAGGGUAUCUGCUCUACCGCAACAUUAGUUUUUCACUAGGAAUGAGGCAUGUAAAUUCUUUUAGAGGUAAAUUACAAUCCUUAUAAGUGAAGUAAAUGAAUGUGGAUUAUAAAAGGGUCUAUAGAGAUAAUAACUUGUCACAUCAAACUUGUCUCAAGGUACUCUGCUUGCUUGUCAGCCAACCAGCCAGCAGUGUUUUUCUCUCACACCGAAUCAACAUCAGCCACUAGCCACCAGCCAGUCGGCAGUAUUUUUCUCUCACAACAAAUCAGCACCAGCCACAGCCAGUUGAACAGAGUGAGAAAGUUGCUGAUCUUUCUUUGUGGAACAUCUAAACAAGGGUUUUACUGCUUGCUCAAUGGAGUUUUCUCAGUCUAACAACAUUUUUAACUCCUGUUUGAUUGUCAUUCAAAACAAACGGGUAAUUUUGCAUUAAUUCUUAUCAGAGUUGAACGUUUAAGCACAUACCCAGUUUAACUGACACCACUAGUGGUUUAACCAUCGUUCAAUUUUUCGAGGAAAAAAAACAUCAACUGGUUUGGUUUUUUCAAGUCCGUUUCAUCGGUUUAACCACAAUUAUGGAUAGUUAAGCUGCAUCACAAAGUCCACUCAUCUGUAUCUUGUCACCAUUUUCAGAGUUUACUCAUAUAUCCUUCUCUGUCAAACUAAGUUAUACCUCGUGCAUGAAAUUUUAGUUUGAACAAAGUGGCAACUAAUAGAUUCUUCAAAUAAAUGAACGUUGCCCUUUAUUAAUAGAAUGGUUAUCUAGGUUUUUUAUCUACUCACUUCUCAUCCUCUGCCAAUCAAGUCUUCAUCCAUGCUCACACCACUACAUCCAUGUAGCUCAAAUUUCAUCACCGGCUAUAUUAUUUACCAAAUAGAAUUGUUAGUCCAUCAAUAACAAAAUCCAAAUUAGGGACCUAGGAACAUAUAAGUUGUUAAGUAUAUCACAUGCUCUGCUCUGUUUGGGAUUUGGGAUGGAGAGGGGGAAACAGAAUCUUGGUUAUUGGUACAGAUCGGUUUGGAGCUUCAGUGUGGAUGACGACAGGUGGAGAUGGCUGCUGGGGUGGAAUUCCAUCGUAUCCUAGCAUGCCGAACGGUGUGCAUGACGGUGGUGGUUGAGGCGCACCGGUGUGGAAGAUCUCAAGCAUGGACACGGACGGCUCGCUGGGGAACAAUGACGGCCGCCCUUCCAUGAUGGCUAGACGGGUCGCAAAUUGACUCAUCUGCCUCUGGAGAUCAUAGAUGGCGGUGGUGAGUGUGUUCAAGACGGGGAAUUGCCCUCAGAGGCCGGGGCAGCGGAGGUCGGACGGUUUCGAGUUUGUGGCUGGCGGAGCUGACGAGGACCGUGAGUGGUUCACCACGGCCGGUUGAGUGGCGAUGGCGGGUGCGGCAGAGCCGGAGUUGCAUGAGGGGCUUGACAUAUCUGAUACCAGAGUGUCAGGGCUAUGGCUGCAGCGUAGGUUGUAGCUAUGGAAUGUGGGCAGCUAGGGCGAGGGCUCCCGGCGGCGGCGCUGCCUCGACGCCGUCCUGACGCCAGCAUCGAGCAGGGAAAGUACGCUAGCGAGAAUACAGAAGAUCUGAUUGAUCUCCAACUUAGUUCCGUUUACAAAUCAAAUAAACCCACAUGCUAACAACUGCCUACACGAUCUACUCUGUAACCGACGAGGAGCGUGCUCUCCAUGGCGCGUUCCCGAGUGCGACGUCGCGUCACGCCGCGCAUCUCCUUUCGGCCAUGGACGUUCCUUCUCCUUUCAUAUACGCGGCCCACCAUAACAUUAUGUUUUGUGCUUAUCUAUACAGUGUCAUAUACUUGCUUCUUUACUAGGACUGAUUCCUCCAUCCAUCAGAUGCACGAACUGUUUAGCCAUUCCUGUAGAAAUAUUGUCCUUUUCCACUUGCAUUUUCUGGAGAUCUCUAAAGUUGUUCUGUUCAUGUACAUUAUUGAAGUAACUAUUUGCAGGGUGCAGUCUCUUAUCAAUUUUGUGUGUGUUUCUGACAAUUGGAAUCAAUCAUGCAAGCGGCUUCUGUUAAAAAUGAAGCUGGAUUGUCGCAAUUUCACCUCACUGGAUGUUUUCUGUUCAACUCGGUUGUACUUCAAAUCUUCAACCGCAGGUGGACUUGUUCUUGCUUCACUUGAAAUGGUGGCCAAUUUUCUUAGGACAUUGCAGGGUUACAUCAUGGACUUUGAAAUCGGUAGUUUAUUCUGGGGUUGUUUUCUGCAAUUUUUCUCAUAUAAUUCUGUGUUUAAAUAAGUGAGAACGCAUUUCACUAUCAAAUUUUGGAGAAAAAAAUUGAAGGAACAUUUUCCUACUUUCUUAUGAAUAUCAAAACAAUUGUAUGUUCUUUUUAUUUAAAAAAAUUGAACAAUGGUCAGGCAUAUAUGCUUGUACUUACAUACUUGUGCACAUGUUUAUGCGAAUUAGUAAGUUUGUCUAUAAAAGUCAUUCAGGUCCUAUUGUCCUUUCAGGGGUACUCUUCUAAGUUGUACUACCUGGCACCUGCAGAUUACAUUGACAAGGUUUUACCAUCUGUAGAUUGAAUUAUUAGAAAGAAAGGUGCCUUUCUGAAGUUGCAGGUUUUUCUCUUCCACUAUCUGUGAUAUUGAGACUUACUGUGAUUUAAUGAUUUAACUCAACAAUGCUGCAGUUGAUGUUUUUAUAAAGGCAUUAUUUUCAUUUAAAUUUUGAACUUGGGAGAUUGGCCUUUGCACUUAGUAAUAUGACUUGCUUUAUCAAGUAUACAAGAAUAAAAAUUUGCCACAGUUUUCUAACCGAACAGAGUUGUUCAUGUUGUGAAUUUCCCAAGUGUUUUUCUAAUCCUCUCUCUGAACAAAAUUUGAAAGACAAAAUUUGAAAAAAUUGAGCAGUGAGGUGGUUUUGUUCCCUUUUGUUUUAAGUGAUUAGGAUUUCCCCCCAAGAAUACAAGUGGUUAAACACUUAAGAUAUUCCUUUUUACCGGGCUGGAAAAGUAAUACAGCUAAAUUUGUUAUGAGUGAGCGGAUUAGAUACAGUUCGUGGGGCAAAAGAGCUAGCCAUAAGCCAUCUUUGAAGUACCUUCUGGAAUUUAUUUCAGCUGAAUGCCUAUCUCGCCACAAGAAUGACCAUAUUCACUGGUGUGCCAUGUUUUCAAGCAUACUGUAGCAGAUGCUUGUUUUUUUUCCCAAAAAUCAAAAUGAAUGACUCGUUACUAUGAUGUUCCUGUCCCUUCUCCUUCCAUACAAAAAGGUAUUCAUGAAAUCUGUUUCAAUUUAGACAUACAAAUGCAGUAUAAAAUAGGUUACUAAUUGCUAUGGUAUGCCCGCCCUUUCUCCUUUCUUAGAAAAACCUGAAUUAAUAUGCACAAAAUGUAGAAUACAUGAGCUGUUUUAGGAAUGAUGUAGGCGUUUUGGUAUCAAAAUUCAGAAGAAGUCCAUCAACUUAUGAUUUUACCACCUCCAUAUGGCAGUGACUUAUAGCUAAUUUUCGGCAGAUUUAUCUACUUCUUGCUCCUCCUACUUUCUUUCCGAAAAUAGGACUAAGAACUUACUUCAUUAAAAGGAAAUUGUUUAGAAGCUGUUAAGUAUAUAUGUAUAUGUAUGUAGUAGUAUAGAUAAGAUAGCUAUUUGGCGCAUAUGGUCAUGUGGUCCAUGUGGCCCAUAUCCCUUGUAUAUACGUUGAAUCGUUGCUCUAAUGGAGAUAUUCUGGAUCUUUCCUCAGUUCCAGCAUGGAAUUAGAGCAGGUUGGCUCCUCCCCACCGUCGCCGACGCUCGCCCUGCUCUAGCCCUCCCUUCCCGCCCCUAUUGGCCGCCGUCGCGGCCCUGUCUGCCGCCCGUCGCGGCGCCCGUCCCCGCCGGCUCCUCGCACCGCCCGUCGCGGCGCCUGUCUCCGCCGGCUCGUCCUCGCGCCGGCCCGUCGUCGCCCGCUGUCCGCUCAUCCUCGUCCGGCCGUCCCCACCUCCUUCAUCUGCUGGCUGCCAUCGCGGCCGCCUCAGCUCCGCCCGUCGCGGAACCAUCCUCGUGUCGCCGUCCGGCUGCCAUCGCGGCUUGUCGUCGCUGCCAUCCCGCCGGCGCGGCCUUCCUCGUCCUCGUUUGUGCUAGUUGCCUCUCCGAUUGCUCUCACGGCUGGUCAUCUUCCGCUGCUCCUAUAUAUUGCUAUUUGCCUAUUUUGCUGUUAUCUGGAUUCUCGGUGAAAUGUGGGGUUUCUUCAAAGAGGGAUAUCAACAGAAAAGGGCUCAAUGUUAUCACUGUGGUCGCUGAAAUCACCCUGCCCAGCGUUGUUUUAAGAAAUAUCCCCAUCUUUUGAGAGAAUUCAGGGCCAAGCGAGCUGUAUCUCAAUGCAGCAAUGGUGUUGCUCCUCCUAUUGCUUCCUUUUCAGUUAUGCCUCCUAACCCUAUUUCCACAGCACCCCCGUCUUCACCAAUUAUCAAUACCUACAUGUCCAGUGGCUCUCCUGUGUCAGCUUCCGCUUCAGGUGUUUCUCCACCUUGGGUCUUGGACUCAGGAGCAUCGUUUCAUAUGACCUCUGAUAAAUCUCAGUUGGUUUUAUGUCAACCUGUUACUAAUUGUCAACAUAUUCAAACUGCUGACGGUAGUACCUGCACAGUUACCCAUCAUGGCAAUCUUGCUACUUCCCAAUUAACCGUUUCAAAUGUUUCCAUUGUACCCCAACUUUCUAUGAAUCUUAUGUCUGUCGGUCAGCUUACCGACAUGAAUUGUUUUGUUGGGUUCAAUGAUACCUCUUGUUUUGUUCAAGAUCGUCACACAGGAGCUCUUCUUGGUACUGGCCAUCGCCAUAAGAAUUCCUUUGGCCUCUACAUCCUUGAUCAUCUACAUUUGCCACCGUCGUUAUCCACAUCUUCAUCAUUAUCUUCAUCUUUUGCUUUUGCUGCAGUUCCCUUUCGUCAGUGGCAUCAUCGCUUAGGCCAUUUAUGUGGUUCGCAUCUAUCCACCUUAAUUAAACAGGGUGUUCUUGGUGAUGUGCCUAUGGACUCUUCUUUUCAUUGUACUAGUUGUAAGCUGGGCAAACAAAUACAAUUGACAUAUCCUACUAGUACCUCUAGAACUAAUAAUCCUUUUGAUCUUGUUCAUUCUGAUGUCUGGGGUCCUGCUCCUUUUACUUCAAAAGGUGGUCACAAAUACGAUGUUAUCUUUGUUGAUGAUUACUCUCGGUAUACCUGGAUUUACUUUGUGAAGCAUCGUUCUCAACUGUUAUCUAUAUAUCAGUCCUUUGUUCGUAUGAUUCACACCCAAUUCUCGUCUUCUAUUCGCAUUUUUCAUUCUGAUUCUAGGGGGGAGGGAAUAUUUAUCCAUUGCCUUUCGUCAAUUUCUUUCAUCUGAAGGCACUCUUGCUCAAUUAUCAUGUCUGGGUGCUCAUGCACAAAAUGGUGUUGCCGAGCGCAAACAUCGUCAGAUAAUUGAAACUGCCCGUACUCUAUUGAUUGCAUCUUUUGUACCUGUUCAUUUCUGGGCUGAGGCUGUAUCCACUGCUGUUUAUCUCAUAAAUCUACAGCCUUCAUCUCGUCUUCAGGGCAAGUGUCCUGGAGAGGUCUUGCAUGGAUCCCCUCCUAGUUAUGAUCAUCUUCGAGUGUUUGGAUGCACAUGUUAUGUUCUUCUUUCUCCUCAUGAGCGCACUAAGCUGACUGCGCAAUCGGUUGAGUGCGUUUUUCUUGGCUACAGUCUUGAGCAUAAGGGUUAUCAUUGCUAUGAUCCUUCUGCUCGUCGUAUCCGUUUUUCUCGAGAUGUUACUUUUGAUGAGACUCGUCGCUAUUUUUACUCGUCCACUCUUCCAUCAACAUCAUCCCUUGAAUCUCUCUCGUUUCUUUCUUUGCCACCUAUCUUCAUAGAAUCACCUGUGCCACCACCUGUGCCAUCAUCUGUUCCAUCCACGGAGCCUAUCGUGCCUGUUCAUACACCUCCAGACUCUGCUGAUACUUCUCCCCCAUCUGCACCCCUAAAUUCUUCUAAUCCUUCUCCAUCUGCACCUCCACCAGCUCCUUCUAUUACUCCUUUUCCUCUUCACUAUAGUCGACGUACUCAUAUACCACCUACUUCCCCAGCUAUUCCUGCCAGUACCACAGAAGAUGCUACUUCCAAUGAUGCUACAUCCUCUUCAUCUCCUCGUUAUAAUCUUAGAGACCAUUCUACUAUUUCUGCUCCUGACCGGUUUGGUUUUUGUGGUGCUAUUUGUGAGCCAUCUACCUAUCAGGAGGCAGUUGGUAUUCCAGUUUGGGAGGAUGCUAUGGCUGAGGAAUUUGCAGCUUUGCGGCGUACUGGUACCUGGGAAGUGGUUCCCUUACCUGUACAUGCUGUCCCUAUAACGUGCAAAUGGGUGUACAAAAUUAAAACUAAGACGGAUGGUUCUAUUGAAAGAUACAAAGCUCGCCUAGUAAUUCGCGGUUUUCAGCAGUCUUAUGGGCGUGACUAUGAGGAAACUUUUGCUCCGGUUGCUCAUAUGACCACUAUUCGAGCUCUUAUUGCUGUGGCUUCCAUUCGCUCAUGGACCAUAUCUCAAAUGGAUGUCAAAAAUGCUUAUCUUCACGGUGAUUUACAUGAAGAGGUCUAUAUGCAGCCACCUCCAGAUGUGAAAGUUCCUCCUGGAUAUGUUUGCCGCCUUCGUCGUUCUCUUUAUGGUCUCAAACAAGCACCAAGAGCCUGGUUUGAGCGUUUUAGCUCAUUUAUUACAACAGCUGGUUUCAUUCCGAGUGAUCAUGAUCCUGCUUUAUUCGUUCACAUAUCUGCUCGUGGUCGCACACUGCUGCUUCUUUAUGUGGAUGAUAUGCUCAUUACUGGAGAUGAUCAUGACUAUAUUGCCUUUGUUAAAAAAUCGUCUUCGUGAGCAAUUCAUGAUGUCUGAUUUGGGACCUUUGAGUUAUUUUUUGGGCAUUGAGAUAACUUCCACGCCUGAUGGUUAUUAUCUCUCUCAGCAAAAGUAUAUUUAGGAUCUACUACUUCGUUCUGGUCUUACUGACACUCGGACAGCAGCAACUCCCAUGGAGUUACAUCUUAAAUUGCGACCCAAUGAUGGUGUUCCUCUUCAGGAUCCCUCUCGAUAUCGUCAUCUUGUAGGUAGUCUUGUCUACCUUACUGCCACUCGACCUGAUAUUGCACAUGCAAUUCAUAUUCUUAGCCAGUUUGUAAGUGCACCCACCUCUGUCCAUUAUGCACACUUGCUUCGGGUCUUGCGGUAUCUCAUAGGGACAUCAUCAAAAUGCUUGUAUUAUGCUAGAACCAGUCAGCCCAAGCUGCAUGCUUAUUCUGAUGCUACCUGGGCAAGUGAUACUACUGAUCGUCGUUCUAUUACGGGCUAUUGCAUUUUUCUUGGUACUUCUCCCAUUACCUGGAAAUCCAAGAAAUAAACUGCAGUUUCACGGUCAAGUGCAGAAGCAGAACUUAGAGCUCUUGCUACAACCACUGCAGAAAUUGUUUGGCUUCGUUGGUUGUUGGCUGAUUUUGGAGUUCUUUGCUCAGAUCCUACUCCUCUUCGUUGUGACAGUACUAGUGCUAUUCAAAUUGCCAAUAAUCCAGUGAAGCAUGAGUUAACUAAACAUAUUGGUGUUGAUGCAUCUUUUACAAGAUCUCAUUGUCAGCAAUCAACAAUUGAUCUUCAAUAUGUUCCUUCUGAGGUUCAAGUGGCUGAUUUCUUCACCAAGGCCCAGACUCAAGAUCAGCAUCAUUUCCAUUUAUCCAAACUCAAUGUGUCAGAUUUGAUCUCUUCUCAUCCACCUUGAGUUUGGGGGGGGGGGGUGUUAAGUAUAUAUGUAUAUGUAUGUAGUAGUAUAGAUAAGAUAGCUAUUUGGCCUAUAUGGUCAUGUGGCCCAUAUCCCUUGUAUAUACGUUGAACCCUUGCUCUAAUGGAGAUAUUCUGGAUCUUUCCUCAAUUCCAGCAGAAGCAACCAACGCCAAAUCAAGACAAACUUGCUUGGCUGAAUUACAUAAAGGCCACUACUCGUGGUAUAGCACGCAACCAAGGGGAACUACGCAAACACAGCAGAAGGCAACUACUCGGUAGGUUUGGAUGAAGUAUAAAAUGCAGAAUAGCUAAUGGUUCAUGGCCAUGUGCAUUGGUGGAUGAAAAAACAAAUAUAAUGGCUGCUCGUGCUUUGUAUUAGUGUAUAUAUAUGAAAUCAGAGAUCUGAGUGGAUAUAUAUCUAGUAGUGUUUGCCUCUUUUCUGACCACCCUGUUGUUGAAUAGGCAAAAAGGUUGCUUAUAAUCUGGCAGAAAAUACCAUAUUUCCAUGCUAAGAGAAUGAUCAUUCCAGUAUUGCAAAUGUCUCAGGAACUGCUACAUUCAAUGAAGCUAGCUAUGCAUUCCCAAUGUCAAAGAGGUUGAUUGUAGACGCAACAGGAUACAUGUGCAAUACUGCUAGAGCCUAGAGGGAUAGAGAAACAUGAAUUACUACAGAUCAGCCGUCAGGUUACCAAAUGAAUCUGCCAGCUUUUGAGGAACCAUAAACAAGAAGCAGCAGCUAAACGGCCGUGGUGAACGUGGAACUGAAUUUUGGAGGCACGCAGUGAAGGUCAAAGUUUGCUGCUGGUGAGUAAGUGAAUUGCCAAUAUCUUCUGUUUCAGCCAGAGCAAGGCGUUCAGUGCCCGUCAGCGCGAAUCCAACCACUCAAGGGAUGGUUACCCACUGAACUAUGAAAUGUUGCUGUACGAUCGUCAGUUACGACUUACGACUUGCCACUGACUUUCAGCCUGCUUGUUGGAGAGACAUCGCACUCCAGAUCAGUUGAGGCCUUGAUGCUAAACAUUGCGUUUGUUACUUAGCUGCCAAUGCAAAGUUCACUCGAGCUGGACGGUUCCCCGCCAAUCCGCCAUUCCAACAGCUGGCUGCCUAAAGAAAUUGAUGCAGUUAGUACACGAGUAGUACCAGUUUCUAGCACAAGUGUAGUGAAUGUAAUGUGGCACUGGUGCUGGUACUGUACAUGAUCUAGUUUAUUGCUUGGUGGCCGUCAUUCCAACAACUUUCUCAACCUCUGAGGAACAAACUACCAGAUAUAAUAUAACCAAAGGUGGUGGUCAUCAUCUCCCAUGUGAAGACGAAUGGCCUCCUCAGUAGGAGCAGAGGGUUAUCGAGUGAGCACUGCUAUACAAACGACUCAUCUGUAUGCAUAUAUGAUUCUGUUACAAGCAGGGAGAUCAAAAUGUUCAAAUCGUUUUGUUGCUGUUCAUUUAUGUGAAACAUUU